GAAGGGGCGUGGCGGAGAUGCUGGAGUCCGACGACGAAACAGGAGUCCAACGACGAAACAGGGGUCCGGCGGAGAAGCAGGAGAGCGGCGCUGCAGAACGGCGAACGGAGGAACGGAGGGAGCAACGGUGGACGGCGCGACGGCAAAGACGAAGAUGGCGCAGCGUUUUCGCGUUUUUUGCAGAGGCAGAGUUCAGAAUCGCGUGGAGAAGAUGAAAACUGUUCAGAUUGAUUUUAACCUUCACAAGAGAAUCUGUCGCGGUUC
rnacentral:lncRNA from 1 species